CAUCAGCAGUGGUAGCACUAAUCAAUUUAAAAGCAACAGAACGACCCAAAAAGGAAGUGGCAGUGUCAACAACAGAGCCAAUGGCACCACCAAUAGCACCAAAGGCACCACCAAUUAUACCAGUUGGACUUUUAACAGCUGUGAGUUCAUUAAUGUCCAAAACAUUCUUUUGCAUCAACACCACUGUUCCCUUCAGCUUCUGACCCCUGUUGAUGAUACCUGUUACACCUGAAAACAUCUUUGAUAAUUUUCUCUGAUA
rnacentral:lncRNA from 1 species